GCCCACAUAGCUUAACCAUCAAAGCAUGGCACUGAAGAUGCCAAGACGGUACUCAUAUUACCUGGGGGCA
rnacentral:tRNA from 1 species